rnacentral:misc_RNA from 1 species
AAAAGAGUUGAAUCCAAAAAAUUGGAGAAAGAUAAAACCUUCUCAAAGAAGGUACUUUUACCAAAUCUUAGCGGCUUAUUUGUUAGGAAAAAGAACCAGGUCGAGGGUGGAUCGCCCUCCUACCUGCCUGGUGAGAAGUCUGUGUGACAUUUUCUUUUGCUUGACUUUCAUGUUACUUUUAGUAUUCAGGUGGGGGGAACAUAUAAUCAUUGUGUGUACAUUUUGUUGCCUGUAAAUUUGUGCUCAGGUAACCAAAAAUGACCUUGUAAGCAAACAAAUGGAUGAGUGAUUUUGUAUAUGGGCUGG